GGUUCCGAAAAUUUUCAAAGUAUCGAUACUACUCUGGUAUCGACAUUAAACUUUCUAAUAUGGAUCAUCGGUUUAAAUGCCCAUAUUUGUUUUGUAGAUAGUACAAAAGUUAUUGAAAAUAUCGAUACUACUCGGGUAUCGAUACUUUUUGGUGAUCACUAAAUUUGUUUUUAAGCCAUUCAUUUUGUUUAAUGGCGUCCAGUCAUCGUUUGUCACCCUUGCAGUAGAAAUCGUUUUACGUACUCCUAUAAACUUACAACGUUUGACUACCAUGGCGUCUCCGAAGCCCAUUGUUUGAAGAGUUAAGUGAAGUGCAAGUGUUGGACUCAAAUUAGCCGCUUGUCACGGCCUCCUCUUCUGCGCCGAUCCUUGACGAACCGGUUGCUGGUCCUAGUGGGCUGACUAGUCCUGGCGAGGAAUUUGCUGCGAUGCCCAGACUUACUAGGUCAUCUGGCAGAAGGCUUAAUCCUUACUCGGAUGAGUUAAAAGGCCCAUUCUCGGACGGAAGAGGGAACCUAUGCAAGGAUAAGGAAGAAUCUUCUUUUGAUGGUAUACCGCAUUUUGAGUAUUUUCCCUACCAUGUUUUGGCAAAGUACAACACAAAAUCGUCAAUAUGACUUACCUAUGUAUCCUCGAACGAAGGCGUACAUAACCAAAAGCGUCGCGUAACAGGUAACGCACGGCCGCCGCCCUAACGACCACUUGUCGCUGGAUGAGACAAUGAACUGCUGCAGGUAUCGGGAGAAGAUC